GACGAACGCUGGCGGCGUGCCUAAUACAUGCAAGUUGAGCGCUGAAGGUUGGUACUUGUACCGACUGGAUGAGCAGCGAACGGGUGAGUAACGCGUGGGGAAUCUGCCUUUGAGCGGGGGACAACAUUUGGAAACGAAUGCUAAUACCGCAUAAAAACUUUAAACACAAGUUUUAAGUUUGAAAGAUGCAAUUGCAUCACUCAAAGAUGAUCCCGCGUUGUAUUAGCUAGUUGGUGAGGUAAAGGCUCACCAAGGCGAUGAUACAUAGCCGACCUGAGAGGGUGAUUGGGCACAAUGGGAAUGAGACACGGCCCAAAAUCCUACGGGAGGCAGCAGUAGGGAAUCUUCGGACAAGGACGAAAGGCUGACCGAACAACGCCGCGUGAGGGGAGAAGGUUGUCGGAUCGUAAAACUCUGUUGGUAGAGAAGAACGUUGGUGAGAGUGGAAAGCUCAUCAAGUGACGGUAACUACCCAGAAAGGGACGGCUAACUACGUG
rnacentral:rRNA from 1 species